rnacentral:rRNA from 1 species
UACGUAGGUGGCAAGCGUUGUCCGGAAUUAUUGGGCGUAAAGAGCGUGUAGGCGGCUCGGUAAGUCCGCUGUGAAAGUCCAGGGCUCAACCCUGGAAUGCCGGUGGAAACUGUCGAGCUCGAGUCCGGAAGAGGCGAGUGGAAUUCCCGGUGUAGCGGUGAAAUGCGCAGAUAUCGGGAGGAACACCAAUGGCGAAGGCAGCUCGCUGGGACGGUACUGACGCUGAGGCGCGAAAGCGUGGGGAGCAAACAGG